UACGUAGGGUGCAAGCGUUGUCCGGAAUUAUUGGGCGUAAAGAGCUCGUAGGCGGUUUGUUGCGUCGGCUGUGAAAUCCCGAGGCUCAACCUCGGGUCUGCAGUCGAUACGAGCAAACUAGAGUGUUGCAGGGGAGACUGGAAUUCCUGGUGUAGCGGUGAAAUGCGCAGAUAUCAGGAGGAACACCGGUGGCGAAGGCGGCUUGCUGGGCCAGUUCUGACGCUGAGGAGCGAAAGCGUGGGGAGCAAACAGG
rnacentral:rRNA from 1 species